rnacentral:rRNA from 1 species
UGAACGCUGGCGGAAUGCUUUACACAUGCAAGUCGAACGGCAGCAUAGAGAGCUUGCUCUCUGAUGGCGAGUGGCGAACGGGUGAGUAAUAUAUCGGAACGUGCCUAGUAAUGGGGAAUAACUAGCUGAAAGGUUAGCUAAUGCCGCAUACGACCUACGGGUGAAAGCAGGGGAUCUUCGGACCUUGCGUUAUUAGAGCGGCCGAUAUCUGAUUAGCUUGUUGGUGGGGUAAUGGCCUACCAAGGCGACGAUCAGUAGCUGGUCUGAGAGGACGAUCAGCCACACUGGAACUGAGACACGGUCCAGACUCCUACGGGAGGCAGCAGUGGGGAAUUUUGGACAAUGGGGGCAACCCUGAUCCAGCCAUUCCGCGUGAGUGAAGAAGGCCUUCGGGUUGUAAAGCUCUUUCGCAAGAGAAGAAAACUUGCUAUCUAAUAAAUAGUAAGCAUGACGGUAU